UACAGAGGUCCCAAGCGUUGUUCGGAAUUAUUGGGCGUAAAGGGUGCGUAGGCGGCAGGAUAAGUUAGAUGUGAAAUAUCUGUGCUUAACACAGAAAUUGCAUUUAGGACUGUCUUGCUUGAGCCCGUGAGAGGUCCAUGGAAUUGCCGGUGUAGUGGUGAAAUGCGUAGAGAUCGGCAGGAACACCCAGGGGGAAACCAGUGGACUG
rnacentral:rRNA from 1 species